CGCUCUCUAUUUCUUCCUUUCCAGCUUUCUCCUCAGUGACACUAAGCAGGUUUUCCAGGCCCAUUUGUCCUGAAAGAACAGCUUAUAUCCUAAGGUCACCAGUGACUUCCACAUCUCAAGGUCAUCUCAAGGUCAAGGUUCUCUGAUCUCAUUUGAUCCGUCGGCAGCAUCCCACCAUUGUUGGCUGUUCCCGUCUCAUUGAACUGUCUGCUCCUGGAUCCUGUUUCUGGGCACCCACUUGGACGGCCUCCAGGGCCUGGGACUGCUGGUUCUUUGCCUCCUUUGCAGACUCUCUCCCCUCUGCCAGCCAUCAAAGCAGACGGAUACUCAAGGCUCUGCCAUCGGCUCUGCCUUCGUUAUCCACUGCUGAGAAACAAAGGACCCUUAAACUUAGCAGCUUAGAACGACAAGCCUUAAUUACCUCAUUUCUCUGGGUCAGGAAUCUGGUUCUCACUUAACUGAGUGCCUCUGGGCUAGAGUCUCAUAAAGCUGCAGUUAAGAUGUUGGCUGGGGCCGUGUCGUCACCUGAACACUCGACCGAGACUGUCGAAUCUGCUUUCAAUCUCCUCCAUGUGGUUACAGGCAGGAUUCAUUUCUUCCCAGGAUGUAGGACUGAGAGCUUCUGUCUCCUGCUGGCUGUUGGCGAGAGGCCUCCUUCAAGUCCUUGCCACGUGGGUCUGUCCAUAGGGCAGGCAGCUUACAUCAUGCCAGUUGAGGUCCCUCAGAGCGAGUGACUGAGAGAGAGGGCACCUGAGAUGGAAACCAGUCUUUGUUAUCUCAUCUUGGAAGUGACAUCCUAUCACUUUUAUCAUACUCCAUUUUUUUUUUGGCUGUGCCCAUGGCAUGCAGACGUUCCCCAGCCAGGGAUUGAACCCAAACCACAGCAGUGACCUGAGCCACAGCAGUGACAACACCUGAUCCUCAAUCUGCUGAACCACCAGGGAACUCCUACCAUACUCUAUUUUUUCUUGUUUUUGUCUUUUUAGGGCCACACCCGUGGCAUAUGGAAGUUCCCAGACUCGGGGUUGAAUCAGAGCUGCCGCUGCCAGCCUGCACCAUAGCUCUUGGGAUCUGAGCCCUAUCCUCGACCUACACCACAGCUCACAGCAAUGCCAGAGUCUUGAACCACUGAGCGAGGCCAGGGAUUGAACCUGCAUCCUCAUGGAUACUAGUCAGGUUCGUUACUGCUGAGCCACAGUGGGAACUCCAACCACACUCUAGGUUUUAGAAGCAAGUUACCAGGUCCAGCCCACGUUCAAGGAGUGUUGCCCAGGGUAUAAAUACUGGGAGGUGGGAAUUAUACUGGUCCGCCUUAGAAGCUGCCUGCCACAGGCUGUCUUCUCUUCUCACAAUCCACCCUCUUCCUAGACCACCUCAGACACAUUUAGACUUUAAUUACCAGCCACACAUGAGAGGGAGAUGCUUUCCAAACUUCUGUUUUCAGUUUAGGCCUACAUUUCAUAUUCCAGACUCACAUCUGACGGAUCAAUGGCCAUUUCAUUUGGAUUUCUCCAAGGCUCUUCCAACAUAAAAGGUCUGAAAAUGGACUCAUGGGUUUUCCCCAGACCUGGUCUUGUCCUACAAUUCUCUAUCUGUUGGCGAUGGUACAGGCUAAGGUGUGAGAUGGAAGGACAGAUGGGUAAUCCAGCCUGAUGCCAGAAAGAUGCUAACCGGAAUCUGGGUUCUUAUUCACGCAGUCGAAGAAUGAACUCUGCAAACACACAGGCAGCAAGCGAGCAAAGUCUUUAUAACAGGAAAGCAAAUAGUUCCCAGGGCUGCUGCGAGCGGGGAGAAGAGCCCCCGCUCUCUAUUGUCCUAUAGGAGUUUUUAUCCCUUAAAAAUGGGGGGUACCAAUGUGGGGUCCAGAAAGGUGUGGUUUUCUCCCAUUGGCCUUGCCUACCACACAUGUUAAUCAAUAGCCAUAUCAAAGAAUCCAUGCUCCUACACUGACUACCCGAGUUGGUAUUCUGCCCCAAGCCCUCCUCCACGAGGUAUCCAGUGGCUCUGCCAUUCCAUUCCGAUGUUGUCUUCAUUCAUGGGGUCAAAGCUGGCUUACCUGUCCGAUGCCCAUGUCCCAGCCCAAGGAGCGGGAAAAGGAAGGAAGUGAACAGCAAGGAAUUUCCUUUCAGAAGGACAUGACCCAGAAAUAGCCCAUCCCUUCUCCUCACAUCCUGUGCACUGGCUGUGAGCCUGCAGUUGGGGAAGGCUCUGCCAUGAGGGGGCUGAGCAUCCCCCAUUGCCAGUCCUGCAGCUGUGUCCCCAGUUACAAUGUGGGGGCUAUAUUAUGGCCUAGACUGGGCUUCCUCUCAGAGAAGAGUCUGAGGCAGGGGACCUCUGUGCUGUUAAUAAUUAAUUAAUUAAUUAUUUUUUUUGUCUUUCUCUCUUUUUAGGGCUGCACCCUAGGCAUAUGGAGGUUCCCAGGCUAGGGGUCCAAUUGGAGCUGUAGUCGCCAGCCUACACCAGGGAUCUGAGCCGCAUCUGAGACCUACACCACAGCUCAUGGCAAUGUUGGAUCCUUAAUCCACCGAGUGAGGCCAGGGAUCGAACCUGCAUCCUCAUGGAUGCCAGUCCAGUUUGUUAACCGAUGAGCCAUGACGGGAACGCCUGUGCUCUUGUUUUAUAAGGGAACAAAAUCCCAGGGUGUAAGAGCAACUAACAAAGGGAGCGAGGCAGGAAGGAGAGAGUUUUAAGAUGAGGAGGAUGCAUAAUAUGAACUUGGGCUACUUCUCCAAGUUGUGUAAACCUCCCUUGAGGACCAGCCCUCGGGGGGAAAAAUGCAGGAAGAAAAUUUCCGCUGGCUCCUGUCUUCCAUUGGUCAAAAGUUGGUCCCCCAGUGGUAGGGCGGGUGCAUGUGAUGCACUCACCCUUUUGUUUUUCUGACUUUGCAUGCAGAGACAAGCGCACCCAAUUCAACAGGAAGCCCCAGCACUGGAGGUGAGGAGGUGGGGUCUGGGCCAGCGGUGAGGGGCCUCAGAGCCCAGCGGAGCUGGAGCCAAAGGUAGAGGGGCUGGAGGAGACCUGAGGGGGCCCCUACUAGGCCUCUCUGCACCCACUAAAGGAAGAAGAGGAGAGUGGAUGCGGGGGUUCACUUGCUGCUCUCUGCCACAUCCUGUUCCGAUGAAUGACACUCCUUUUCAUUUAGUUCCAGCAAGUGAGUAAUCUAAGAGGCACCCUUAUCCUUAGACCUGCACCUGACCCCAAAUAGCCCAUCAUCUAUUUGCUUCUCUCCAUUUGGACGAUGUUCUUACUCAGAGCUCCUAUUAUCUUCCAUGGGCACAGAUAUCUCCUCAGUGAGCUCUUGUCCUCCUUCGUAUCCAUUUUCCACACCCAGCUGGAGUAAACCAACUGGAUCUUGUCACCAUGACCUGCUCAUUUAAAUCCUCUGACAGCUUUCCAUUGCUUGGAGGAUAAAGACAAAAUGCCUCAAGGUUGCCCACAAAAUCUUAUGUGUCCUGGCUCCUCGCCUUCUCUUGGAACAAGGUCCCCAUUAUCUUCUGUUCCAGCCUCACCUGCCUCCUUUUGGCCUUGGCUUUCUGAAGCUUUGGGCUGCCACAGGACCUUGGCACAUGCUCUGCCCAGUGCUUGCCAGUCUUUCCUCCCAGCUCCCUUCUCAUUUUGAAGCUCUCAGAGCAGUUACCCUUUUCUCAGGGAGGUCUUUCCUGAUUUCCUCAACUGGGACAAACUCCUGUUAUAUAGGUAUCCAGUCCUGGAUUCCCCAAGAGGCAGACUAAGUAUGCAUUUUAUAUUUCAGGAUUUUGUAAAACACGGUCACUCCUCAGUUUUCCUAAGAUGCUAAUUUCAAAGAAGUCACCAUGGGAACGAUAAGACUCUUUGGAGAUUUCUCUACACUUGCUUUUUUUUCCUGCACUCACAGCACAUGGAAGUUCCCUGGCUAGGGAUCGAACCCAAGCCACAGAUGUGACAACACUGCAUCCUUAAGCACUAGGCUACCAGGAAACUCCCUACACUUUGCGUUUUUAUUCUAAAUUGGUUUUGGAAGAGGUCAUAAUCUUUUCAGUCCUUAAAGCCUCUAAGAGUCAGACUCGAAAACUCUGGCUCUGGAAAUAACUCUGCUUGUAAGACUUUCCACAGUUGCAGCUUUGCUUUUUUUACAUCAUUAGUUAAUAGAUGUCUGUCUCCCCCACAAGGCUCUCAGUCUUUUGAAGGUAGAGGCCUAGGUGGUGUUCUGACUCACCAAGGAGCUUAGC
rnacentral:lncRNA from 1 species